GUUGUAUGGUUAAGUGACUAAGCGUACACGGUGGAUGCCUUGGCAGUCAGAGGCGAUGAAAGACGUAGUAACUUGCGAUAAGCCCAGAUUAGGUAGUAACAACCAUUUGAGUCUGGGAUUUCUGAAUGGGGAAACCCACUUACAUAAGUAAGUAUCAUUAACUGAAUACAUAGGUUAAUGAGGCGAACCGGGGGAACUGAAACAUCUAAGUACCCCGAGGAAAAGAAAUCAACCGAGAUUCCGAAAGUAGCGGCGAGCGAAAUUGGACUAGCCCUUAAGCUUUACACGCGUUAGACGAACGGUCUGGAAAGUCCGACGAUACAGGGUGAUAGUCCCGUAGUUGACGACGUGUGUUCAGUGAAAUCGAGUAGGGCGGGACACGUGAUAUCCUGUCUGAAUAUGGGGGGACCAUCCUCCAAGGCUAAAUACUACUGACUGACCGAUAGUGAACCAGUACCGUGAGGGAAAGGCGAAAAGAACCCCUGUGAGGGGAGUGAAAUAGAACCUGAAACCGUGUACGUACAAGCAGUAGGAGCAGGCUU
rnacentral:rRNA from 1 species